UGUUAGGCCUCGGAUCAGGUAGGAAUACCCGCUGAACUAUCAUAUCCCCCCUU
rnacentral:rRNA from 1 species